GUGGAGGCCCUCCGCGCCAGCGUUCCGCGCGGGGAUGGGCUGCAGGCCGUCGGGGGCAGUGUCCCUGAUGGUGUCGUGGCGGACCUGGUGGCUGGACUUUGUGGCUUUGUCCUCGCCCAUGGCUGUUUCACAUUUGGGGACGGUGUUUGCCUUCGGGUUGGCGACACUGCUGUGGGUGCCCGCGGGGCCCCGCAGUGUGCCGGCAUUUUUGUGGCUGACUUGGAGCAGCGCUUGCUCGGCUCUCGUCCCCUGAUGCCCCUGCUCUGCUUGCGCUGCAUUGAUGGCGUCUUCAUCAUCUGGACCCAUGGAGGGGAGGCCCUUGGGGAGUUCCACCAUGGUUUCGGCAGUUUCCAUCCCACUAUGAACCUCAGCUGGA